ACCACCACCAUCACAACUCCAACCUGCCUUUCAGCUUUAAAAAUCCUAAGCUGAAGCACUCACAAAAGCCUACUUCCCUCCUCUCUGAACCUCCCCAAAUCCAGCAAUUGCAAAAGGAGCUGGGAAAUGUGUAAGGAAGCAGGUAUCAAGUGGGCUGUGAUAGGAUUGGAGGGAUAAGAUAAAAUAAGGAACAAUCAUUAGGUCAAGCAUUUGGAGAAAGCCCCCUAGCAGACCCCCUGUGGCAACCAGCCAGGAAAAGGCUGGCCAGAGGCAGCUGACCCCAACCCCACUGUGCUCAGGGAGAGGAGAGGGAGCUCCUAAUGGCGGGGACACAUCGCCUCUCAUCUGCAUGCCCCCCAGUGUCCCUGGCCUGGACCCUGUCACCAGCAGGCAUUCUCUCUGUUGAUGAUCAACUCUCUUUGGCAAAAUGGACCUUUAUGGAUUAGACUGUUUUUGACUCAUCUGUGGGGGAAACCCAGGCUGGUACAAUCAGGGGAAAAGGCAUGUGCAGGAGUCCCUGGGAAAUCCAGAGCAGGAGGUGCACCUGGGUGAACCACAGAAUGGGCGACUCAUCGCAGGUUGGCAAGUCUGUGGUGCAGGCUGCACACUGGUCCUGUGUGAGGCCGACUCAGGGACAGUGCACUGCCCUGAGGGAUCCUGGGCCAUUCCUUGGAAAUGGGUGAUUCAUAGU